rnacentral:misc_RNA from 1 species
AAGAGACGUUGCCCUUCGGGGUAUACCUCCCACCCUUUGUUUAUUAUACCUUUGUUGCUUUGGCGGGCCCGUCCUCGGACCACCGACUUCUGCUGGUCAGUGCCCGCCAGAGGACCUAAAACUCUGUUUGUUAAUAUUGUCUGAGUACUAUAUAAUAGUUA